UACGGAGGGUGCAAGCGUUGUUCGGAAUUAUUGGGCGUAAAGGGCGUGUAGGCGGUCUUUUAAGUCUGAUGUGAAAGCCCCGGGCUCAACCUGGGAAGUGCAUUGGAAACUGGAAGACUUGAGUACGGGAGAGGGCAGUGGAAUUCCUGGUGUAGGAGUGAAAUCCGUAGAUAUCAGGAGGGACACCGGUGGCGAAGGCGGCUGCCUGGACCGAUACUGACGCUGAGACGCGAAAGCGUGGGUAGCAAACAGG
rnacentral:rRNA from 1 species